GCCCGGAUGGCUCAGUGGUAGAGCAAGUACUUGGUAAGUACUAGGUCGGGAGUUCGAUUCUCCCUCCGGGCUCAA
rnacentral:tRNA from 3 species